GACGAACGCUGGCGGCGUGCUUAACACAUGCAAGUGGAGCGACGAACCAGGGCUUGCCCUGGGGCAGAGCCGCGAACGGGUGAGUAACACGUGGGUUACCUGCCCCGAUGACCGGGACGAACCCGACGGAAACUACGGGCGUAAUACCGGAUGUGGUCUUCGGACGAAAGGAAGCUUCGGCCUCCGCAUCGGGAGUGGGCCCGGCGGCGCAUUAGCUUGUUGGUGGGGUAACGGCCUACCAAGGCGACGAUGCGAGCUGGUCUGAGAGGACGAUCAGCCACACUGGGACUGAGACACGGCCCAGACUCCUACGGGAGGCAGCAGUGGGGAAUCUUGCGCAAUGCGCGAAAGCGUGACGCAGCAACGCCGCGUGAGGGAAGACGGCCUC
rnacentral:rRNA from 1 species